CUGGAGACUUCCUUCUCCCUGUGGCAUUUUCCCCGCUCCUCUGGCCGCCGAAGGAGUCCUGUGGUGCCGGGCAGGAAUGGGCUGCUUGGGGACCCAACGAGCUCCCAGAGCCUUUCCUGCUGCUUCCUCUACCCCUGUGUUUCGCUAGGCUCUCGAGAUGGACUCAGUUCCAGAUUGCCCAGCCUCACAUAUUCCUUCAUAGCAACACAAAGGGACUGAGACAAUAUAUAAGUUAACAUCUGCCAUGUAGUGGAGGUUCCAGAGAAAAAGUGAGAGAAGCUGAGUCUGCACCCUCAACAUGGAGGAAAUAAGCUCUCUUAGGACCAAGAACAGAGGACAGAGGAAGGACUCCAGCAUGAUGGGCACCAAGGGAUUUUGGUCCUUCUGAGAAAGAGGAGAGACAGGGUCUUCCUCUUUGCCUAAGCUGGAGCGCAUUGGUGUGAUCAUCGCUCACUGCUGCCUCAAACUCCUGGGCUCAUGCGACCCUCCCACCUCAGCCUCCUGACUAGUUGGGACUACAGAAUUGGUUCCUUCCAGUGAGUUCUUGGUCUCGCUGACUUCAAGAAUGAAGCCACAGACCUGUGCGAUGAGUGUUACAGCUCUUAAAGAUGGUGUGUCCAGAGUUUGUUCCUUCAGAUGUUCAGAUGUGUCCGGAGUUUCUUCCUUCUGGUGGGUUUGUCCUCUCGCUAACUUCCAAGAAUGAAGCCGUGGACGUUCACAGCAAUCUACUCAUUUGAAUUUUUCUCCAAAUGCAUUGAGCUGAAUGGAAAAAAACAAACUUUAUUGGUAACACCCUGAAAUCCACUCUUGGAAAUCUUGAUUGCACCUAAUUCCAAAUCUGUCACUAUAGUUGGGGAUUCAACUGAAAUCCAUUUUCUUCUUUAUAAAGACAAUAACAAGGUCAAGAUCUAAGCAAACACACAAAUGUGAACAACAGGGAAAGAACCCAUUGACCUACCAAGACAGGCUGCCAACAGAAUUUUGAAGGCUUGCCAAGAUGCUUUUAUGGAGGUAGAGUGAAUGAGAUUCCGUAAGUGCAAAAUAAUCCUUUUAAGACUACCCAGAAAGUAAUAUAAGUGAACUAGUUAUAUAAGAUUCAGUGAGGACUACCAAAACAUUGGGAAGAAAUGUGGAUUUUAUCAUUCAAGGAAAUAUAAUUUUAUUGUAAGAUAUAAUCUUUGUUUUUGUAGUCAAAUAGAAACAUUCAUGCCUUAAUACAACGUUUGGUAAAAAGAACUGAAGAAGACACCAUAGAAGAUUUUAACAAACAAUGAACUCAUUAGCUAAAAGAUUUGUCAUGAAAUAAUGAUUGAUUUAGUUGUUUUCUAAAAUAUUUCUAGUGCCUAUUAGAUGUUGAAGGAGACUUUGAUCAUGAAGUGUGUUCUCUGAGGAGCUGCUAUUUUUAUUUUUAUAUUUGUUUGAAGUGAAUUGUCCUGCUAAUUCUUUAACAUAAAAUAUCUUCAAUUACAUGAUUCAACAUUUUAAAAAGUGAUUAAGACAGAAGAAUAUGUGCUGGGAUUUAUUUUUGGAUCUUUGAAGUAGCAAAGAGUAGCAGAACUCCUUAAUCCAUAGAGUGGUUAUUUUGCUGUAUGAUGACUCUUGUAUUUACUCCCUGAAUUACCCUUUCCACUAAAAAGUAUUAAUGAGACAUUAGUAGGCUAUAGAAAAAAAUACUUCUGAUCUACUUAGAAAUAUUCAUGAGGUUUUCUCCUGGUGGAUUCACAUCAAAUUUUAUUUUUUAAAACCCCAAGUAUUUUUAUUUGAUGAUUAAUAAGUAAGAUGGAGGCUGGUAGGUGGAAAUCGCCAGCAGGAAAAUAAAAUGCUUUGGCUAAGCCGACAACUGCUACUGUCCUCCUCUGUACAGACUCUCCUGCUGAAGACUCACGGAGGCUUAUUUCAAGUCUUCUUUAGUUCAUUACCUGCAUGUUCAAAUGGAGCUGGUACUGUGACUCACAGCUUUCUGUCCAAGAAUGCGAUUUGUACCUCUACAAAUCUUCUACACCUUCUUCAUCUAGUAAACACUUACUCUACAGGUCUCAUCUCAAAUCUAUUACUAUAUGCAACUAUAGUACAUAAGCAAGCCAUUUAAAAAUGUUAAAGGAAGAUAUGCAUUGAUAUGGGUUGGCUGUUUUCCCACCCAAAUCUCAUCUUGAAUCGUAGCUCCCAUAAUCCACACGUGUCAUGGGAGGGACCCAAUGGAAGGUAAUUAAAUAAUCGGGGUGGGUUUUUCCCAUGCUGCUCUCAUGAUAGUAAAUAAGUCUCAUGAAAUCUGAUGGUUUCAUAAUAUAAAGGGCAGUUCCCCUGCACAUGCUCUCUUGCCUGCCACCAUGUAAGAUGGGCCUUUGCUCCUCCUUUGCCUUCUGCCAUGAUUGUGAGGCCUCUCCAGCCAUGUGGAACUGUAAGUCCAUUAAAUCUCUUUUUCUUUAUAAAUUACCCAGUCUUGGAUAUCUCUUCAUAGGAGUGUGAAAAUGGACUAAUAGAUACAUAUAGGUACACAUACAUGUAUACAUAAAGCCAUUCCAAAAGACUUUGCUUCCUGAAGUUUGUAAAUGUAAACAAAUUUAUUGUACCAUCAUUUAGGUUACUACGUUGCUCACUAACAUAGAAACAAUAUCUAAAAUGGGUACUUAUAGGGUUAUUAAAAUAUAGUAUGAAUAUGGCUACUGGAAAAAAGUCAAAGAUAUAUUUUGAGGCCACUACUCUACGUCUCUUGAUGUUCUCUUGUACACAUUUGAUAUUGCACAAAAGCCAAAAGUUUGGACUCCUUUGAUUAAAGGCAAGGUCAAGUAAUCCUGCUGGUUCUACCUCUCCUCCCAUUUCUUAAAUGAAAGGAUGUAGUCAUAUAAGGUGCUGUUUAGUAAAAUGGUGCCGUGAAUUCAGCAUGAAAUGUCUGGGCAAGUGUUUUUCAAGUUGUCACAUAUAUACUAUAUUUAUCUUCCUCCUUUUCCCUCCUCAACCUCAGUCCCCAUCACCCAGUGUUUCAUAAGGUUUUACUUUCUGUAGCUUAUACUGUAAAACCAGGAGUUCCCUUCCUCCUCUCCCAAAUAUAACCUUUUCUAAUAAUAUUAAUUGCACUUUCCCUAACUAUACAUACCUCCCUGGAGAUUUUGAACUGUAAUUCUUUCUCUCCUCCAUUUUCCUUGAGCAUUUUUCAUCUAGUGGAAUAUUCGGUGGCAAAGCUCUCAUUCUGGAAGAAGUUUAGCCAUGUAAGCAUAGAAGAAAUAAGCCAACAAUGGUAAACAUAGUUAAUGCAUGUAGUUAAGUCUUCUAAACAUGUCACUUGAAUGAUGUCACAUUUUGCUUUUUCAAACUAGGAAUCAACAAAAUGGAGGAACAUUUGAGGUUUGUUAAGAAAUUUCCCUUCUUAGCCAUAGAACUAAGAUAUUUUUAAAUAAAGAAGAUCAUAGUGGGCCAUAAAUGAUGUGCCUUUCUAGGAUCCCAAAAUGUUUUAUUGAUUGAAUUAUAUAGAGAGAUUUAAUGGAACCGUGGUUGAAAAAUGCUUUUAAAGUCUUUGAUCACUGGGAUAUCAAUGGAACAAAUGGGUUAAAACAUUUUCAGAAUUUAAUCAUUUAUCUAGGUAACAGGGUUGGGGGUAAAUGGCGGGAGAGAAGGGGAGGGCCGGGGCAUUAAUGAAUAGUACUCCAUGUAAAAAGAAGAAUUGACUAGUAACAUCUGUACUAUUUAAAUUAACAGGCUGGCAUAUAUUGUUGUGCAGGUUUUGCAUUGCCCAAUUCUUGGGGGGGGCGGCAUUCACAUUUGUAGUCAUUAUGGGUUCCUCUAUUUAUAAUGCCAAUUUUCUAGCAGAUGUUGGUUUAUUGCCUUGAGAAACUGUUAGAUUCCUCUAAUUUUUGCAAAGAUGGCUUUGGGAAGUUGAAAGAUUACCUGAUUACUAUUAGAGAAUCCUGCUACCAAUACAUACUUGUCUUGUAUAAUUUGGGCAAAAUAUAAUAUUCCUGAAUCUUAGAUUCCUUGUUUGUAAAAUGUUUAAAAUAUAUCUAAAUGUAAGAAUUGUUGUAGCAUAUAUAUGUGAGUACAUGAAUGUGGCCGUCACAGCAGCUGUAAGUGGAAGAUAUUAUAAAUAUUGUUAAAACCUUCUGAUGUUUUAUUUUAAGCUGAUAGUUUUUCUUUAUGCUGACUUUACAGUGAGUUUUAAACAUACACUUGAGUUUAUCAUUUGUAUAUAACUACUGAUAGAAAUCUGAUGAAAAACACUAAUAGUAGUUUAUAAAAGAUUUUUUUCAAUAUGAACUUUUUGUUUCCAUUGUGAGAAAUUAAAUUUCAAAAUGUAAUUAUUAAAUGUAUGCCUGACUUUCAAAUGUUUUUCUAUAUCCAGCUAAUUAAAAAUAUUUAUAACGUAGUAGUAGUUAAAUGUCAUGUUCGCCUUAUUAGAAAGAAUGCCUUCAAAUCAGUAUUAUCAUGAUUACCAUUUAUUUAACAUCUUCAGUAUGCAGGGCAUUUAUAAAAUCUGUAGAAAUUAAUUUUCUCUAAAUGCAACAAGCUUUAUGACCAGCACUCACUGUCUAUAAAAGAUGACUUGCUUGGCAGAAGAGGAAACAGUUUCUUCAGACCUUCCAGCCACAGUCAGCCCUGGUGACAUUGCAUAUCAGCUUCUAAAGGGCCUCGCACAUUCCUUGGCUUGUGAUGUCCCUUCCCCAUCAUCAAAGACAGCAACGAAACUUCAGGCUACCAUACCUGCUUCAACUGUAGGAGAAUCUUAGUUCUGGAGAGUUGACCCUCCAGGCGAAGCAUUAGGCUUUGAUACAAUUUGUCUGGUACCGGCUGUAGAUCUGGUUUGGGCCCCAGACUAUCUUCCCUGUCCUCAAGAAUCAAAACCAACUUGGAAUGACUCCUGGCCCACUCAGCACCUUUCCGGAAGCCAGAAGAAUGAAGUGCCACACAUAUCAUCAGAGAGAAUUCCAAGGAAGAGGGAAUGGUCUAUAGUGUCUCAAGCCACAUUAAUCCUUCAAGAACAGUGUUAACUUUCUCAGGCUACUGGAACUCCACUUUUUGGAACUGUUAUAUUUACUGUUGGGGAGUGACUUUGGCACCAAGGAGAACUUGGCUCAAAUGAAUGGUUUUGGAUCACACAUCUUCAUGAUUUGGGAAUGAUAUGUGUGUUUAUUUUAUGAAAAAUGUUAGUAAUGAAGCAUUUAAAAUAUAUCAAAAGGAAAAUCUCCAAGAGUUGGUGAAUCAUGCUGUUGCCAAUAAUAGGCAUGUGACAUAACUGAACAUUUCAUCAUCUUCAGUAAAUAAUCAAGAUGACUUUCGCUCUUGUUGCCCAGGCUGGAGUGCAAUGGCAUGAUUUCGGCUCACUGCAACCUCCGCCUCCCAGUUAUUUUAUCAGUGGAAAUGCUUCAGAUCUUUCUAAAAUGGUGGUGCAGGUCUGCUGGAGUUUGCUGGAGGUCCACUCCAGACCCUGUUUGCCUGGGUAACACCAUCAGAAGCUGCAAAACAGCAAAGAUUGCUGCCUGUUCCUUCCUCUGGAAGAUUUGUCCCAGAGGGGCACCCGCCAGAUGCCAGCCAGACCUCUCCUGUAUGAGGUGUCUGUCAGCCCCUACUGGGAGAUGACUCCCAGUCAGGAUGCACGGGGGUCAGGUACCCACUGACGAGGCACUCUGUCUCUUAUCAGAGCUUGAACGCUGGGCCAGGAGAUCUGCUGCUCUCUUCAGAGUUGUCAGGAAGGGAUGUUUAAGUCUGCUGAAGCUGCACCCACCCACAGCUGCCCCUUCCCCCAGGUGCUCUGUCCCAGGGAGAUGGGGUUUUAUCUGUAAGUCCCUGACUGGGGCUGCUGCCUUUUUUUCAGAGAUGUCCUGCUCAGAGAUGAGGAAUCAUAAGCAAUUAGAUCUUUAAAAUGACUUUACAUUAGCCUACUUUCUUCCCAUAUGUACCAUAUAUAUGGUAUAAUCUGUAUGGGAAAGGAGGCAUUUCAAGGUUUAAAAGAAUAUAAAUUUUGGAUUUAAUGUUUUUGAUCUUAACAUAUUUGUGUCUCAACAGGGAAGACAAUUAGAAAUGUAACAAGAGGGUUCUAUUUGAUUCAUUUAAAAAAUGGAAAGUGGCACCCAGGGUGAGGCUGGCAUGUCAAACAAUUACUGAGAGCAAUGCCACCAUUUGCCUUUGUGUGUGUGUGUGUGUGUGUGUGUGAAUUAGGAUCUGUUUUUUAAUGGUCACUCUAUUUACAUAGUAACAUUCCUUGAAGCAAUAUAUGCAGAUUCAUUCUCGACAUAAGUUUUUUUGCUUUUGCUAAAAUAGUUUUUGCUUAAAAUUACUCCCUCUCUUUUCUGGCUACAACUACUUCCCAUCUUCUCCUUGAUUUUUUCAAUGACUUAGGAAAAGAUUAACAUGAUUUAAGUCCCGUUUCUCAUGACUGUAAUUACAAGACUAGUUUAGUUCCACUUUCUUGUAGACGAAUUCCUACAUUUUGCUGAUGUUUUGGCCCAUUCUUAUAAACUCCACUGUCUGGGGAGCAGGAAGCAUUCUGACAAAUUGUCUCUUUGGGAACAGAAGUAUAUUUUAUUGAGUCAAUUAUCUUGAUAAAUCACGUUAUAUUUGAGUUUUUGUAGUUUUGUGGAUAAACAUUUUUACUUGGAAUCCCUUUGUUGUUCACUGUGUUAGCACCCAUGAUUCAAACAAUCCUUGAUCUUGUCAUUAGUAGUAUAUGUAGAGAAGAAUUCACUGUAGGAAUUUAAGAAGUGACUUUUCAACACAGCUUCUCUAAUACAGUAUUUAAUAUCCCACACAUAAUUCAAAAUAAAAGUAAGAAAUAAAAGUCUAUUGGAAAGACUUAGCACAAAAUUCAGUGUAAGAUUCCAUGUAAGAAAUAUUGAUUAGAACAUAUUCUACGAGAGUCUAGAGAUGAGGUUUAUGUCUCAAAUGUUUGUUUUAAGCUUAUUAGAAAUACCAUCUAUUAGUAAAAAUUACUUCUUUGGAAUGAGAUGAGAAAAUUCUGAAUAUGGACUCAGAUGCCAAAAUAUGUUAAUAGCAUAAAAUACAGACAUGAACUGAGAAGGCGGUUUCACCAAAGACACAAGAGAAAUUAAAUCACAUACAUUUUACAAUGUAAACUAAAAUAGACUAUACAAAAAUACCUUGCUAACAGAGAAAUGGGUCAUCAGUCUGUUGUUGUUACUUUUUUUGUUGCUGUUUCUUAAUGGUUACUUAAUACCUACCUGUAGUGCAAUUAUAUGUUGUAGAAUUCUGUCACAAAAAAAAGGCCUAAACCAACGGGAUGACUUAAAAGAAAAAUAAACAUUUCAAAGAUUCAAGUAAUUUAUCAGGAAAUACUGAAAGUACAUCCUAUAAUUUUUUUUAAAACUUGAAAAUUGCACCUCACAUUUUGUCUGGAGAGUUAGGCAACAUCUGUAUUUUUCAACUUUGUCAGUUAUUCAGGACCUAUUACAGACCACACAACUUUGAGCUUUGAAAGAAAUCCACAGAUAUAUAAUUUAACUCAUUGUGUAGCUAAGGAAAUAGGACUGAAGAAAUUAAUGAUUUACUGGACAUCAAGUUACAUGUAAGCCGAUUUUUAACCUAGAUUUCCAAAUGUCCACUCCAAUGCUUUCACCACUAUUGCCUGGUAGGUAUCACAUAUUAUUAAGUUUGUUUUGUGUUUUAUGGAUUAUAUUUAGCAUAAUUCUGAGACUUAGAAGAGGUUCAAUAAAUGCUUAUUACAUGUAUAAAUGAAAAAUGGCCUGGAGGUAGCAUAAGUCAAUAUUCCAUUUUUCAUCAUAGCUUUCAUCAAACAAAUCUUAUAUUUAUUCCUGGAAUCUAUUGCACACCACAAAUCAAAUGUGCAUAGCAAAUAGAUUUUUUUUAAACCUAGCCCGGCCAAAUUGAUCUUGAACUUCUCCGUGCUUGUUCAACAAUUCUGGUGCAGAGUUUAAAAAACUUGUAGGUUUUAUUUUGAGGUUACAAGUUUCAGUCUGGGACUGAAAAGAUAUAAUAGUAAUCUGCAAAGUUCAAGGAUGUGUAAUUCUGGGAGCUCAGAAAGAAUUCAUAGCUCUUGUUCUCAGGAGCUCUGCAAACAAAGAUGCCAAAGGCAUAUCAGAUUGCCUUCUAAUACAGGGAGUAACAAGUAACAAUGACACAUUGAUUGCUUACUUAUGAAAAUUAUUUCCAUAAUGAUAUAAUAUUAGAAGACAAAUUCAGCUGCCUGACCUGCACAGGAGAUUGAAUUGAACGUAGGGUGUUAAAUCAGAGUGGAGUAGGGUUUGAAAAAACAGAAUAAAAGCAAUACCUAGGAAAACUACUGGGGUAGGGCAGAACAUGAGUUCUGAAAUAAGAAGAUCUGAACUUGAAAUGCUUCUUUACUGUGCAAUGUAGACAAUAUAAUCUGCUGAGCUCAAUUAGCUCAUGUAUAACCUGGAGUGAAGAUGCCUGUCUUGUACGGUUAUUGUAAGGAUAAAACAGGAUUCGGGGGAGAACCAGCCAGUGUAGGCAUUACCCAUUUUUGUGUUGUUUCAAAUAUAUUUUUUAUAUUUUAGAUACGUGUGUGUGCGUGUGUGUGUGUGUGUAUGUAUGUGUGUGUCUUCAUUGCUACAUUGAACAGUUUGACCCUAAGUAACUCACAAAUAGCAUUCUAGAGGUGCUUCAAAAAUACUAAGGAAGUCUAACCUUCUAGAUGUUAAAAUACAACUUUUAUACUGGUUCUACUUGCCUUCAAUGGAAAUUAUUGAAGAAAAAAUCAGCUGGGAAUGAGAAAAUAAUAAAACUGCUUUGAAAUGAUGAAGUAAAGAAAGUAGCUUGGAAAAAACAUGCCUGAAGGCAGGUCACAACUUGAAAUACAGUUACUAUGUUCCAUAAUGGGCAGAGUAAUAGAGUGUGUCUAAAGUACAACCAAAGUAGUCUAGUACACCACAAUAUCACAAUAUCCAGUAGUCCCCCCCACCUCUCUCUUUAAGCUCCCUCUGUCCUUUCUCUCUCUUUUCUGUCUUCUCUCUCUCUCUCUCCUCUCUCUCUGUACACUCUCUUUCUUCUCUCUGACUCCUCCCUCUCCUCUCUGACUCCUCUCUCUCCUUUCUCCUCCACCCUAUUCACAGGUUGGAUAACGUUUCUGAUUUAUUUGACAAAGGAUAUAGCUAUUCAGCUAGAAUGCAUGAGCCACUGAGAGCAAGUACGAAGCCAGUACACCUUGGCGGAGCUUCGUGAGGCCCAUCAGAUUCUCAGGUUGGAAUGCCAGGAAGUGUUGUUAGUGUUAGGAAGAUUCCAUGUGUAAGGCAGGAGCUCACUAGAUCUGAAGAGCUUAACAUAUGGCUGUACCAUAACUCUUUUUCAAUAGGGCUUACAAUGUUCUUUAGGGCAGCAUGUAGAUUUAAUAUUUCUAUUAAAGGGAAUGCUUGCAGACAUUAGGAGCCUCCAGGUUUUUAAGUCAACACAGCAUCAGGACCAUAUUGUUAUCCUGUGAAGAGCAAGGUGGCUGAUUUCUCUUCUUAUAUCCAGAUACAUUCUGGAUAAUCCAUUCCCCACAGUUACAGUCUGACUCUGGAUUUUGGAAUAUCUUUUUAUGAAAUGGAUAGGUCUGAUAAUGAAUUGGGUAAUUGGGUCUUAGGACUAGAAUCUUAAAUCCAUUCUCAAUUUUUAUGAAGUCACCAACCUUUUACACACAUGCUUUAAAAAAACCUGUCUACGAACAGAAACUCACUCCUGUGCUUAUCACCUGAUAGAAGAACAAAACUGAAUAUAAAACUCACAUAAUUUGUAUUGCUCAGUGUAUAACGCAUUAAAAACAAAUUUAUUUUUCUUUGAGGAAACUUUGUACUGCAUUCCCCUUUUUAAGAUCAUCAACUCGUUCCCCCUUUAAAUGCCUAAAUCAACACUAAUUAGAUUCGAGCAGCCAUUUCUUCAUGCUGGCCUUUUAUUUUUGUCCUCUUAUUUUUUCCCUUAACUCACCUAAAUCUUCCUCUCCUUUUUUAUCUUUUCUCCCUUCCUCCCUCCUUAUUGCACAUAAUUCAAAUAUCAAAAAUAUAAAGUUAUUUAAUGAAACAUUGCUUCCCCACUAGCUCUCUACUUUCUCAGUAUAUAUCUUGCCUCCUUCAUUACUCGGGUAAUCACUAUCACUUGUUUCUUUUUUCACUUAUAAAGAAUUUUUAUAUAAAUGCAAACCAAUAAAACAGGAAAUUUCAUUUCGUCUUUUAAAACUACAAGUAAUAACAUAUUAUACACGUUUUAUUCAACAACAGAUUGUAUUCAACCUUCUGCUGUUAAGAAGAGUUGCAAUAAAUAACCUCAUACAUGCAUCACUUCACACAUAUUAAUUAUAUCUCAAGAUAAUUCCUAGGUGUCACUUUGAUAAAUAUUACCAAAAUGCUCACCAAAGAUGCUGUACCAAUUUAUACUCUCAUCAGCCAUAGAUUAAAAUCUAUCCCAAAAUUCUUCCAGUUGAAUAUGUCAUGAACUUUUGGAUUUUUACCAAUCUGAAUGGGAAGAGGGAAACAUGUUUUUUCAGUGUUGUUUAAAUCUGUAUUUCUGUGUUGUGAAUAAGGUUAAAUAUCUUUUAAAAUAUUUUUAAAAAACUAUAUUUGCAUUCCUGUGAACUGUCUUUGCAUAUUCUUUGCCCACUUUUUUCUUUUGGGCUGUUGAUGAUUUUCUUAUCAAGUGGUAGGUCUUUAUAUGCCAGGAAGAUUAAGCUUUUGUGACAAAAAUUGGGAAUAUAUUUUUAAAUUUAGUUUGCCAUUUGCCUUUUUGACUACAUUGAUAAUGUUUAUUUUAUGUGUUGCCAUGCAAAAAUUUAAUUUUUAUGUAGUCAAAUGUAUUCAUUUUUUUCUCCCUACAGCCUCUGAAUAUUAUAUCAUAAUGAGAAAGUUUUUGUUUCUAAACUGAGGCUAUAAAUUAAUUCUUUCAUGUUUUCUUCUAUGAUUUUGUAUUCCAUAAUAAAUAUUUAACUUAUUUAAAUAUUUCUUCUAGGCCAGGUGCGGUGGCUCACACCUGUAAUCCCAGCACUUUGGGAGGCUGAGGCAGGUGGAUCACCUGAGGGCAGGAGUUUGAGACCAGCCUGACCAACAUGGUGAAACCCCGUCUCUACCAAAUACAAAAAGUCAGCCUGGUGUGGUGGCACAUGCCUGUAAUCCCAGCUACUUGGGAGGCUGAGGCAGGAGAAUCGCUUGAACCUGGUUGGGGAAGUUGUAGUGAGUCAAGAUUGUGCCAUUGCACUCCAGCCUGGGCAACAAGAGCUAAAAUCCGUCUCAAAAAAAAAUAAAAAUAAAUAAAUAAACAAAUGUUUCUUCUAGUAUAUAGUCCAUAUUCUGAGAUAGGCACCCAAUUUUAUUUUUUCUCAUUGGCUAUCUAGUUAUACCUACAUCUUGGUAUUAUUAAAAAGUCUAUCUUUUGGAGACUUCCGCUCCUGGGAAGAUGGAAUAGAGGUACAUUUCCCCCUUUCUCUCCCUAAGGAAAACUAAAAUUCUUGGACAUCAUUUGUAAAAUAAACAUGAGAAGACUCUGACAAGCAGAGACAAAGAUAUAAUAAUAAUGUCAUUGGAGCCCUGGAGUGAAGGAUAAAGAAGGCAUUGCUAAAUAAUUAAUUUAAGAAAUAAUGGCUGACAAUUUCUCAAAUUUGUCCAAAGCCAUAAACCUACAGAAUCAGGAAGCUGUGUGUAUUCCAAUUAGGGUAAAUCCCAAAAAACCACACCAAGACACAUGAUUAUCAAGCUUGUAAAAACUAAAAACGGGAAAAAAUCUUGAAAAGACCACAGUUACAUUAUCCCAUUGAGGGGAGACUUCUUAUCAGAAACCAUGAAGGCCAAAGGGGUGAUAUUUUGUUUCUCUCAGAAUUCUAUAACCAGCAAGCAUGUAAUUUGGGCUUUUAGAUAUAUUUAAGAUAUAUUUUAUCACAUUAAGAUGAGUCUACCUAAUACUGUAUUUUAAAAGAUUAUAUUCCAAGAGUGGAUUUUUAAUUGUCAAUCUUUGUGGAACACUUAGUUUAAUGUUGUGGUUCUCAAAGUUUUGGCUUCAGAACAACUUGUUUAUAACCUUAAAAAUUAUUGAGAACCCCAAAGGCUUUUGUUUAUUUAGUCUGUAUCUACCAAUAUCUUCUAUAUUAAAAAUUAGAACUGAGAUACUUAAAAAAUAUGUAUUAAUUUAUUUCGGAAUAAAGAUAAUAAACUCAUUACAUAUUAACAUAAAUUCAUAUAUUUAAAAGUACACUUUUCAAAGCAGAAAUGUCUCAUGAGAAGAUUGGCAUUGCUCUACAUUUGCUAAUCAUUUCAAUGUCUGACUUAAUAGAACACAGCUGGAGUCUCAUGUAUGUUUCUGCAUGCAAUCUGUUUUAGUAUAUUAUUUUGGUUGAAGUUUAUGUAGAAAAUCUGGUUUCACGCAGAUAUAUAGCUACAAAGUACAGAGUAUUUGAAUAGAUUUUUCAGAUAAUUGUAAAUAUCCUUCUUUGACAUGUCACUGAAACUCAACAUUAAAUAUUAAUAUUUAAAUAUUUUUAAGUAUUAACAUAUAUAUGGAAUAUUAAACCAUAUCAAUGAAAUUUUGGUAUUAUGUUACAUUAAAGUCCAUUGUCCAUUUUGUACUUCAAAUAGAUCUUUCCUCUCUUUGUGCUUUUGUGAAAUCACACUUUGGUCAUUUGAAAAAUACAGGUUCACUGACUUACACAGAGUUUCUAAAUAUUGACAUAUUUUAUUAAAUAACAUAAAGGAGGCUUUACUGACAUCAUCAAUGAUCUCAUCAGAAAAAUCUUCGCAUAUUGGAAAACUGAGAAGCUCAAAGUAGUAUAUAGAAUUUUUUCAAGAUUCUAAUUUCUGCUUAGUGUUUUUUCUUUAAGAGGCUCACUUGGUUCAUUUUUGAAAGUAUGUCUCCUAAAUAUGAGAAUCAGAUUAACCAUGGGCUGUCAAUUAUUCUUUCAAGUAAAGAUGGUGCUUCAUGAAAAGAAAAUCUGGUUCCACUUACAGCUGAAACAAUUGUCCAAGUACAUUUCCUUAGGAUAAUUAUCAUUCCUUGGUAUGUAGAAGUAUUCCAUGGACCUCCAUUUUGUUAUACAGAAUUUUGAAAAGACAUUCCUCAAGGACUGAAGUAUAAUAAGGUUAGGAUUUUUAAAAAUUUUUAAUUUUAGUGGGUUUAUAGUAGGUGUAUAUAUUUAUGGAGUACAUGAAAUAUUUUGAUACAGGCAUAUAAUGUGUAAUAAUCGUGAUAAUAAAGGAGCUAUCCAUCCCCUCAA
rnacentral:lncRNA from 1 species